rnacentral:rRNA from 1 species
AGAGUUUGAUCAUGGCUCAGGAUGAACGCUAGCGACAGGCUUAACACAUGCAAGUCGAGGGGCAGCACAGGGUAGCAACACUUGGGUGGCGACCGGCGCACGGGUGAGUAACGCGUAUGCAACUUACCUAUCAGAGGGGGAUAGCCCGGCGAAAGUCGGAUUAAUGCCCCAUGAAACAGGGGUCCCGCAUGGGAAUAUUUGUUAAAGAUUCAUCGCUGAUAGAUAGGCAUGCGUUCCAUUAGGCAGUUGGCGGGGUAACGGCCCACCAAACCGACGAUGGAUAGGGGUUCUGAGAGGAAGGUCCCCCACAUUGGUACUGAGACACGGACCAAACUCCAACGGGAGGCA